AUUGAACGCUGGCGGCAGGCCUAACACAUGCAAGUCGAACGGUAACAGGAAGCAGCUUGCUGCUUUGCUGACGAGUGGCGGCCGGGUGAGUAAUGUCUGGGAAACUGCCCGAUGGAGGGGGAUAACUACUGGAAACGGUAGCUAAUACCGCAUAACGUCGCAAGACCAAAGAGGGGGACCUUAGGGCCUCUUGCCAUCGGAUGUGCCCAGAUGGGAUUAGCUAGUAGGUGGGGUAACGGCUCACCUAGGCGACGAUCCCUAGCUGGUCUGAGAGGAUGACCAGCCACACUGGAACUGAGACACGGUCCAGACUCCUACGGGAGGCAGCAGUGGGGAAUAUUGCACAAUGGGCGCAAGCCUGAUGCAGCCAUGCCGCGUGUAUGAAGAAGGCCUUCGGGUUGUAAAGUACUUUCAGCGGGGAGGAAGGGAGUAAAGUUAAUACCUUUGCUCAUCGACGUUACCCGCAGAAGAAGCACCGGCUAACUCCGUG
rnacentral:rRNA from 1 species